AAGUGUUACAGCUCAUUUAGAAUUUGUUUAGCAGGUUUUCUGUUUUUUUUCUUUCCCCUGAAACCCAC
rnacentral:snRNA from 1 species